rnacentral:rRNA from 1 species
GGUUUGAUUCUGGCUCAGAUUGAACGCUGGCGGGAUGCUUUACACAUGCAAGUCGGCCGGCAGCACGGACUUCGGUCUGGUGUGGCGAGUGGCGAACGGGUAGUAAUGUAUCGGAACGUGCCUAGUAGCGGGGGGAUAACUAUUGCGAAAGCGUAGCUAAUACCGCAUAUUGCCCUUCGGGGGAAAGGGGGACCUUUCGGGCCUCGCGCUAUUAGAGCGGCCGAUAUCGGAUUAGCUAGUUGGUGGGGUAACGGCUCACCAAGGCGACGAUCCACAGCUGGUUUGAGAGGACGACCAGCCACACUGGGACUGAGACACGGCCCAGACUCCUACGGGAGGCAGCAGUGGGGAAUUUUGGACAAUGGGGAAACCCUGGAUCUGCGCCAUCCUGGGCGUGUGCGAUGAAGGCCUUCGGGUUGUAAGCUACUUUUGGCAGGAAAGAAAUGGUAUAGCGGGAUAAUACCCCGCGCAACUGACGGUACCUGCAGAAUAAGCACCGGCUAACUACGUGCCAGCAGCCGCGGUAAUACGUAGGGUGCAAGCGUUAAUCGGAAUUACUGGGCGUAAAGCGUGCGCAGGCGGUUCGGAAAGAAAGAUGUGAAAUCCCAGAGCUUAACUUUGAACCGUAUUUUUAACUACCGAGCUAGAGUGUGUCAGAGGGAGGUGGAAUUCCGCGUGUAGCAGAAAUGCGUAGAUAUGGUGAGGAACACCGAUGGCGAAGGCAGCUCUCCUGGGAUAACACUGACGCUCAUGCACGAAAGCGUGGGGAGCAAACAGGAUUAGAUACCCUGGUAGUCCACGCCUCCUAAACGAUGUCAACUAGCUGUUGGGGCCUUCGGCCUGGUAGCGCAGCUAACGCGGUUGACCGCCUGGGGAGUACGGUCGCAAGAUUAAAACCAAAGGAAUUGACGGGGACUCCGCACAAGCGGUGGAUGAUGUGGAUUAAUUCGAUGCAACGCGAAACCUUACCUACCCUUGACAUGUCUGGAAUCCUGAAGAGAUUUGGGAGUGCUCGCAGAGAACCGAACACAGGUGCUGCAUGGCUGUCGUCAGCUCGUACCGAGAUGCUGGGUUAAGUCCCGCAACGAGCGCAACCCUUGUCAUUAGUUGCUACGAAAGGGCACUCUAAUGAGACUGCCGGUGACAAACCGAGGAAGGUGGGGAUGACGUCAAGUCCUCAUGGCCCUUAUGGGUAGGGCUUCACACGUCAUACAAUGGUCGGGACAGAGGGUCGCCAACCCGCGAGGGGGAGCCAAUCCCAGAAACCCGAUCGUAGUCCGGAUCGCAGUUCGCAACUCGACUGCGUGAAGUCGGAAUCGCCAGUAAUCGCGGAUCAGCAUGUCGCGGUGAAUACGUUCCCGGUCUUGUACACACUGCCCGUCACACCAUGGGAGUGGGUUUUACCAGAAGCAGUUAGCCUAACCGUAAGGAGGGCGAUUACCAUCAGUAGAUUCAUGACUGGGGUGAAGUCGUAACAAGGUAG